rnacentral:rRNA from 1 species
GCCCGAAAACCCUCGACGUUUCGGGUCACGUACAUCCGAGGGUCG